CUACGGGAUGCAGCAGUGAGGAAUUUUGCGCAAUGGGGGCAACCCUGACGCAGCAACGCCGCGUGAGUGAAGAAGGCCUUUGGGUCGUAAAGCUCUGUCAACAGGGAAGAAGUUACAUGAUAUUAACAGUGUCAUGUAUUGACGGUACCUGUGGAGGAAGCAUCGGCUAACUCCGUGCCAGCAGCCGCGGUAAUACGGGGGAUGCAAGCGUUAUUCGGAAUCAUUGGGCGUAAAGGGCACGCAGGCGGUCCUGUCAGUCAGAUGUGAAAGCCCGGGGCUCAACCCCGGACGUGCAUUUGAAACAGCAGGACUUGAGUACGGUAGAGGAAAGCGGAAUUCCUGGUGUAGAGGUGAAAUUCGUAGAUAUCAGGAGGAACACCGGUGGCGAAGGCGGCUUUCUGGACCGAAACUGACGCUGAGGUGCGAAGGCGUGGGUAGCGAACAGGAUUAGAUACCCCUGUAGUC
rnacentral:rRNA from 1 species